UCUUGGCGUAGCACAUUCAUUUUUCUGGCGAGUUAGGGGUAAAGUAAAGCCAAGCUAAGCGAGUUUUCUAUUCAUUUCGGUUGUGAGCAAACACACACAAGUAAAGGGUAUAAUGGCAAGCAGGAAAGGGACAGUACCUCACCUAUUAGGAGAGCCAUCAGGCAAUAGAAAGAAAGAAAAGGGAUCUUAGGGAAGCCACUAUUUGUUUCUACUUCUUUUGAAAACGAGCAAGAAAAAGAAAGGACUAAGUCAAGGGCUAGAGCCAAUUCAGUUCAAGAAAGCUCUUUUAUCAUACGGGAUUACCCGUGCCAUUUUCAUUCCUUGAGUGGAUUGAGAAAAUAUCUCAUAGUACUUGAGUGCUUAUGAGUAUAUAUUUCCAGAUCUCCCUAUGCUUAACCUUAACAUUGGAGGGAGGGAAUUGACUAAGGGUCUGAAAGAGAUUCACCAUAUGACGACUAUCAAGCAGGUGAUUAGGGAGAAGGUAAUUAUACAUACUAUUCCAGUUUCCUUACAUCCGAUGCUAAUUCCCUCUCUGCCGAGCCAGUUGGAGUGAAAAGGGUUGGAGUGUUAAGCAUAUACUCUUGAAAGUUCUAAGUAUAUUUUCUAGCACUAUUCCAUAUAUGGUUAUGUCUAGCCUAUAAGUAGAAAGAUCAGUCCCAAAAGUUUCGCAUUCCCUCUAUUCCCUAAGAAAUUUCCUCUACCUGUAGUCGGAGUACGCAAUCAAGUUUUCCAUCAGUCCCUUUUCUUUUGUCUUUUUUCAUUUCUUGAAUGGAGGGUUUUACAGUGAAAGCAAGUUAGAAAGGAAGCUGCGUCUCUUUCUCUUAGUUAGAAAAUCAAAUGAUCAAACCAGUGAAAGAUAGUUCCUUUUAUCAAUCUUUACCUCUUUUGGAAGGGCAGCGUAUUUAGUACAAGCUAGUGAUAAAGCUUAGGCACGUAGUUCCCGGAUAGUCUCUGCCUCUUUACCUUGUGGGUAAGUUGUCUAGUCCCAUUGCCCCUAGGUAAAGGGCUUGGGUCUACUGAUUGCCUUGCUCUUGCCAUCCUUGCCUCUAUUGCUAUUAGGGCUGGUUCUCGAUCUGGAACAACUGACUCUAGUACUGGUGCUUGCUUUGCUUAUGGCGUAUAUGGAUCACGAAGGUCUGGGUCACGCUCACGAACGUCAGAAUCAGGCUCUCGAUCACUACUCUCAGAAUCUGGAUCUCGACCAGAUCCUCAAUCCUACCUUGACGCACUUCUCGCUUUGAUAUUUGCUGCACUCUUUCGCUUGAAAUGGAGGUUCUGAAUCCAAAUCCAUGAGAGCUUUCAUUCCAAUCUUUUAUAGAUGAUCUGAGUGUGAUGAUCAAUGCCACUUUACCCUACCACGGGCUCUCAUUGUUCACACCUGAAUUCGGACUUGCUUGACCCUGCUGAUGACUCGGAUGCUAAAGACAAAUCGUGUGCGGGGCCUUUUUCAGAAAAAUUGCUUAUCGCAGCAUAGAAAACUCUGAACUAUGGAAAGUCAUGAGGCAGUCCCUCACCACUGAGAAGGUCAGGAUGGAGCUAAGAAAAGGGUUUCUGGCCCAACAAUCAAAGCUCGUCUGCUCAGAGCCUUAGAGAGGUCAAGGAGGUCAACAGGAGUGAGACGGAAAGGAAAAAGCAUGAGCUUGAUGUUCGACAGAAAGGAAAGGGGCUCAAAGCGAAGUAUAGAAAGAGAAGCGGGGAAGAGAAAAAAAGACUCAUCCGCCCAAAGAAAGAGUCCUUACCUGACGAGAGCCAGUUUUGGGGAUCAAGUCCACUGACAAAAUCUGAUGAGAGAAAGGGGGAGCCCCUUUCAGUUUCCAGUAGUACUACUUUGAUUUGCUUCUUCAACAGUAGACGAGAAUAGACCGUUGAAAUAGAUCUCUGCCCAAAGAAAGAACUUUCCUUAUGAAUGAGGUUGGUCGACAGGUAUGAAGACAACUUGCCAAUCUAUUAGCAUAGAGGGUAGACAAGAACAUCUUUGGUACUGAACAGAAAGAUUGGGUUGACUAGGAUGAUGAAUUGAGUGAACUAAGUUGGUCAUUCACAGCUUCAAUCACUUUUGAGACAAAUCAGGAUCAGAUGUACAGAUCUGCGCUUUCCAUUAUAGACAUUUACCUUGAACUACUGAUGAAAUGCUUCCUUCCUGAGAAGCAGACUCUGGCCUACGACAGGUUAUCCCCCCCCUCACAGAUUGUUCUUCUUGGUCGUCGAGACCUAUUGCUGUCAUAAUGUGAAAACACAAAAUGCCAACAAUGUCAAAUCCACAAGCGAAACUCAUUCACCACGCCCUAUCUUUAGAACUCAAAAUGUUGACUCUCAGUCAUAAAAAAACUGCUUUCCUUGAUCAACGAUCAGUCCCGGCCCAGUAGCCGAGAAAUCCAUUCCUUUAACCAGAGUAGGAGUAGCCGGAGCUCUAGGCAGGAGAAGUCAGGCGUGAAUCCCGAUCUGAGUCCAAGAGUAGUAGUUCCGAUCGAUCAAAGCAGUCGAAAUGAAGCAAGAAUCCCUUUAAGCCGUCAUCAGUCAAGUGAGGCAAUCAAUCUCCUUUUUCGUGGUUGACCGGCAAAGCAAAGACCAGCAGUCUUGUCGGGUUUGGAAGCACAGUCCCAAAGAAAAGAGAAAAUAGUUGAAUCAGAAAGGAAAGGCUUUGUUGAGGACGUGUGCUCUUACUCAAAGUCGUUUCACUUUCCCCAAAAGAACAAUAAGAGUGAUUGAGCGCAGAUCUCUCAU
rnacentral:lncRNA from 1 species